rnacentral:rRNA from 1 species
GAUGAACGCUGGCGGCGUGCCUAACACAUGCAAGUCGAGCGAUUUACUUCGGUAAAGAGCGGCGGACGGGUGAGUAACGCGUGGGUAACCUGCCCUGUACACACGGAUAACAUACCGAAAGGUAUGCUAAUACGAGAUAAUAUGCUUUUAUCGCAUGGUAGAAGUAUCAAAGCUUUUGCGGUACAGGAUGGACCCGCGUCUGAUUAGCUAGUUGGUGAGGUAACGGCUCACCAAGGCGACGAUCAGUAGCCGACCAGAGAGGGUGAUCGGCCACAUUGGAACUGAGACACGGUCCAAACUCCUACGGGAGGCAGCAGUGGGGAAUAUUGCACAAUGGGCGAAAGCCUGAUGCAGCAACGCCGCGUGAGCGAUGAAGGCCUUCGGGUCGUAAAGCUCUGUCCUCAAGGAAGAUAAUGACGGUACUUGAGGAGGAAGCCCCGGCUAACUACGUG